rnacentral:lncRNA from 1 species
UCAAAACACAUUGAAAGGUAAUAGGGUUGUAAAUUCCAAGAGAUAGAAUAAGAGACAAAUUUAAGGUUCCUUUCUUAUCGAAACUUACCUCUCGUCUGUCACCACCAUCACCGUCGUCGAAAUCACCAUGGAUUCACAGGUUUCACUAUAUCUCCAUUUCCUGUUUUAUUGUCUUCUAUUACAAUUGAUAAUAAGAAAAAUGUAUUUUAUCACGCAAAGUGUCAUCACUCUUUAAUUUAAUUAACACAUGACAUUCAGUACAAUGCAAUGGACUUGCUCCAAGCACAAGUUUUUGCAUAUUCAAGUGUUUUUCUUGCUUUUAAUCCUACCAUCUAAAUGUUUUUUCAUUAUAAACUUGAGUUUAGGAAUAAAAACUCUUUUAUUAGUAUUUUGUCAAAAAAAGUGAGUACAUAACUAGCAUAAUAAACCAUGCAGAGGGAGCUCACUUAAUCAUCUACAAGAAAUGAAUACCAUAUCUAAAGUGUAGAAAGUCACACACCUUCUUCAAAUGGACAGCAAGAUGAAUCUUUGCCAAAAUAAAGAAUUAGCACAUCCGCGAUACACCAUCAUAACACUUCCUAAUUUUUAUGUAACCAAUCCUCCUGUUAGGCGCUGCACACUACAAUAAGUUAGCUGACAUGUUCUUCAAGUUGACGCCAAAAGCAAACAACAAUGUUCAGCAUUCAAGCACAAAAUCAUAGAUGAAUGUACUUUGCACAAUGGUCUAUAUCAUUUUCGUAUAGAGUAACGACAUACAGAUCUGAUUGACAAGUGCAUAUUAAGAAGCACACGUAUGACACUAAACACAUAAAGACCCAAACGAACAUCGAUAAAAAUUGGUUUUAAAAUUAUAAAACGCUGCAAAAAUAUAAUACAACACAUAAACUAGUAUGAAACACAAAUCUCAGAAGUGUUUGUGAAAUUAGUUGAGAUAUACACUGAUUUGACCUUUACUAUUAAACUAUUGUAUAUAAUUUUGUUUUCAUUAGGAUUGAUUUUAUCUAGAUUUAUUUAAUGUUGUUUAACUAGCCGGUAUAACGACAUUAUACCUCUAUAGCAUAGAUAAAUUUGGACAAACCGCUCUUGUUCUGAGAUAUGCUAUUCAAUACAAAAUAUUGUCGAAUAGCCGCUAUAUCGACACUAUUACAAAGAAAUUUUUUAACAAACUGCUAUCUGCAAUUGAUAACACUUGAUUUCCAUGGGCAUAUCUAAAGUUGAAUAUUUCAGAAACAGUGUCAGAAGCUAGUGUGGUUAUGGACAACAACAGUAAUGUUCGUGCUGUUUUGGACAUGAAAACAUCUCAAAAUAUGAAGCAAUUGAGAGGAUUAUUGGGUCUUACUAGUUAUAAUAAUGUUUGUAAAUUCUUUUAUACCUCUAAAAUGCAGAAAUAAACUGCAUACACUAGAGAAUUUUAUACCAUUAUAGCUACCUAUCAAAAUUCAGACACUACUUACUUGGGCUGAACUUGCACGUCCUUUUUUUGCAGCGAUUCUAAGAAGGUGAACCGUCGAGCCAUUACGAGCGAAGAAGGGGAAUAUUCGCGCGAAUAGGUUUCGGGUGUUUGGGUGAGAGUUGUGCGGUUCUGGAUUCUGGUGAAAUUCCUUCGUCGUGCUGUGCGUUUUGGAGAGGUUAAAGGUUGUGAAAAUGGGUUAUUUAU